GACGAACGCUGGCGGCGUGCCUAAUACAUGCAAGUCGAACGCUGAAGAGAGGAGCUUGCUCUUCUUGGAUGAGUUGCGAACGGGUGAGUAACGCGUAGGUAACCUGCCUUGUAGCGGGGGAUAACUAUUGGAAACGAUAGCUAAUACCGCAUAACAUUGGAUGCCACAUGUCUUUUAUUUGAAAGGGGCAAUUGCUCCACUACAAGAUGGACCUGCGUUGUAUUAGCUAGUAGGUGAGGUAAUGGCUCACCUAGGCGACGAUACAUAGCCGACCUGAGAGGGUGAUCGGCCAAACUGGGACUGAGACACGGCCCAGACUCCUACGGGAGGCAGCAGUAGGGAAUCUUCGGCAAUGGGGGCAACCCUGACCGAGCAACGCCGCGUGAGUGAAGAAGGGUUUCGGAUCGUAAAGCUCGGUUGUAAGUCAAGAACGGGUGUGAGAGUGGAAAGUUCACACUGUGACGGUAGCUUACCAGAAAGGGACGGCUAACUACGUG
rnacentral:rRNA from 1 species